UUCAGUUAAAUCACAGGGCUUCAGAAUGUCCAAAUUCAGCCUACAUCUACAUAUCACAGAAUCGCAAACAAAAUUAUAGAAGGGUCAACUUUCUUAAACAUGAAAGAACAGUUUUAUUUGCCAUCUUCAAAGUUAUUGUCUGAUUUGGGGAUCAAAAUGAAGGUAGUGAAAAGGUCCAUACACAAUCGAGUGUUUUAAAUAAAACUGUUUUUCGGAUAAAGUGUUGUGGGAAACAACAUAUGAGCUUGCUCCCUUUUUACUAAUUGGUAGGGCUGGCUAAAAGAUUGAUAAUCAGAAAACUAUUGGAUGGAAGUCAUUAGUAAUGAUUAUUGAUAUGAAAAUUGUGUCAUAGUUAAUGUGGCAGUGUCAUAUUUUACAUUUUAUUUAUUUAUUUGUGUAAAUACGGUAUCAUUUUUAAACAGUUUGGUUGUGGUAGUUUUAUUGGAUUAGGUUUUUAUUAGAGUAUGUUUGGUAUUUGUCUCCAGCUUGAUUACCCCAAGCUGGACCUGGGCUCCUAUUGUAGUAUUGUGGGAGAGCAGGGUGUUCUAUUGUUCUUAACUCAGAGGGCAAGCUAUUCCUUGAUCUCUGAUUGGUCAGUUUGAAGUUGUAUCUUUUCUUCUUUACUAACAUCAGCACAUUUUAGUCAGUUUACCACAUACAGCUGCACAAGAAAGGCACCUCAAACAUAUGACGUGACAAUUUGACAGACGUCUGAUUUCCGCUCCUUUUUCGUCUACAACUUCUCUCUGUUCAAGAUGGACAUGCUGUUUCACUAAGGUGGACAAUGUAAUAUCACCUGAGUACCAUAUAUUUGGGUGAAAACAAAACAAACCAUAUAUUUGAGAAAUAAAG